rnacentral:rRNA from 1 species
GACGAACGCUGGCGGCGUGCUUAACACAUGCAAGUCGAACGGAAAGGCCCUGCUUUUGUGGGGUGCUCGAGUGGCGAACGGGUGAGUAACACGUGAGUAACCUGCCCUUGACUUUGGGAUAACUUCAGGAAACUGGGGCUAAUACCGGAUAGGAGCUCCUGCUGCAUGGUGGGGGUUGGAAAGUUUCGGCGGUUGGGGAUGGACUCGCGGCUUAUCAGCUUGUUGGUGGGGUAGUGGCUUACCAAGGCUUUGACGGGUAGCCGGCCUGAGAGGGUGACCGGCCACACUGGGACUGAGAUACGGCCCAGACUCCUACGGGAGGCAGCAGUGGGGAAUAUUGCACAAUGGGCGGAAGCCUGAUGCAGCAACGCCGCGUGCGGGAUGACGGCCUUCGGGUUGUAAACCGCUUUCGCCUGUGACGAAGCGUGAGUGACGGUAAUGGGUAAAGAAGCACCGGCUAACUACG